GGGGCCAAGGGGAGGAGCUGGACAGGCUCCGAGGAAGGACUCUGAGUGACCCUGACAUUUGUGGAGCACUUACAGUUCACAGUGUCCUCCACACCCAUUACCUUCCCAGGCCCUAGGGAGGGUCACAGCAUCACACUUUACAGAGCAGCAAAGAGGGGUUGCUUGAGGUCAUGUAAGAUGGCACAGCUCUGAAGGGCAGGGGUCCCUCUGGAACAUUGGUCUUCUGAUUUCACAUCUCCUGCUUCUUUUUGUUUCCCUCCUGAUUCCUAAUGUCUUACCAGUUCACAGAGAAACUUUGGAAAGUACAGGAAAAAGUGAAAGCCGGCACACUUGACAUUUUGUUGCCUUUUUCUGCUUAUAGUUACCUAUGAUCCCAGCAAGAAAUUUGCAAAAUACAAAAAUGUAUGAAAGUAAAAUCUGAAAUCAUGUGGAGCUACAUUGAGGCAUAUUUCCUUCUAAUCUCUUUUUCCUAAGUAUAUCUUUUCAAACACUCUUACUGGCUGGAUACUAUUCCCCAGUCUACGUACUUUGUUGCUUGGGAAGUUCCAGCUGCACACACCACCAAGUCUUACCAAGACCUUUCCAGCCUAUGGCUACAAAGUGGUUGGCAGUACCCACCCAAAAAGGUCUUGUGUGUAACACAACCCCGCCCUUCCCCAAACCUUUGCUAAUGUCUGAGACCUCCCGGUAUAUCUCUUGUUGUUUUCAGAUAAUCCUGGCAUACUUUUCUCUCUCAGUCCCUUUCAUUAGUUUCCACCAUCUGAAAAACCUCACUCGUAGGUUAUGCUCUACCUGCCACUCCUACUUCCAUGAAAGUCCCAGCCCCACUUGGUCCCCUUCUAUACACUGUGUCCCAACCAAGGCUGACGUGGGGAGAUGCACUUGGAUGUGCUGGGUCUCCCAGGCAGCAGCUCCCAAACUUCAAUGUGCACACACAGCCAGGAUCUUGUUAGGAUGCAGCUCUCCAUUCACAAGGUCUGGGCUGGGUCUAAAGGCUCCUGGUGAUGCUGGUGCUGCUGGUCCCAGAACCUGGCUUUGAGUGGCAAGGUUGUAGAGUUCCUCUGUGAAAAUAACCUCUCUCCUUAAGCCUUAGAACUCUGCCCAUGGACCAGGGGGUACCACUCCAUCUACUUAUCCAGCUUGCCUCCAUUUCCCUCUUUCCUCCAUUACAGUAAAUUCAAACAGAUAGAUGCCUUCAGAUGACCUAUUCCUUCAGUUCACCCAUAAGCCCUCCAUCCCACCCCUUCCAGAUGCUCUGUUUACUCUCCCUUCUUCUGCCUCUCUAUUCUAUUAUCAGCUCUUCUUAACCUUUAGAUUCCCAUAAACCUCAGUGGCAGAGAAGCUGAGUUAUCUCUUUGUCCAGGUCCCAUACAUCGCUACAGAGCCUUCCUCAUCUUUGUAACCAUAAUGGCCCCAGAAGUUGUGACCCAAAGCCAAGACAGUUUCUCUCUUAAAGGAAUUAUUUGCCAGUUCUUAGAAUAAUUAUUUCCCCAGCUAGAGAAAUACUACUGCAAUAAAUAUGUUUACAUGUAAAGCUUUGUCUACAUUUCUGAAUAUUUCCUUGUUAGGAUAGAUGCCUUAAGUUGCAACUGCUACAGCCAAAUUUAUGAAAACUUUGGGCCUCUUGACAUGUACCAGCUCCCCUUCUUCUUCCAUAGGGCCACACUUCCUGUCCCUGGGUCCUUGUGGCUUAAUUCGAGGGGCUCUGAAAAAUAGAAAGGCACUCCCUGCUCCCACAUACUUCCAAAACCUGCUUUCUUGUGAUGACUGAAAUCCACCACCCCCUGCUUUGGUUAUAUGUACAGAAGAUGCUGGGAAGCUACUGAAGUUACUAUUAUCCAGCUAGAAAAUGGACCACACCAUUGGAAGGCCUUAACGCUUGACCCCAGGGCAUCCCACCCACAGAGGGACCCUCCUCUGAGCCCAGAGCUCCAUUAAGUUUGGGUUUUGUUGUUGUCGAGGAGUGUAUAUAUGAAGAUGAGAAAUGGUGUGAAAGAGGGAACAUCUGAACCAUGGAUCUUAUUCCCCAGCCUCCAGAUCUGCUCAGCCCACACAGCCUGAAGCAAGUGGCUGCUGUGGGGAUCAGCCUGCAGUGGGAGAGAGAAAGAGAAGAGUGGAGGUGAAGGUUGGGAAAGGCGCCCCCACCCACUUACCCACCCAUACAGUCCUGCCUUUUCCAGCCAGGGGAUGGCUGAGGGUUCUCUGGCUGUCGUCACCCAUGAACUCCCGCUUCACUCCCACCUUCUCUGAAGUCUCCUGCGUGCUGAGCAGCUGUGCUAGGGAAGUGACACAGGCACUUUGGGAACUGCUGGGAUGCUGAAAAUCGUUCCACACAGAACCACCUCUUCCCAUGGUGCUUCACAGAAAGCCCACGGUCUCUGGGAGAGGCGGCCCCGAACCAUCAGGACGAACAUCCAGGGUUCAUCAAAAGCAACUUGUGCAAAGGCGAGCACACAAAAGAACAAUUAAUAAAAUUGAGGGAAUCAAAGUGGCAUCAGGAGCUGGACAUUUUAUAGAGUCUGCUCAUUAAAAGAGAGAAACAAUGAGCUCUGUGAGCAGGAGCCCCUCCCUCGAGGCUGGCCACACGGGUCCACAGUCUAUUAUCUCCGCACCUCAUUUCCAAUUCCAAUGGAUGCCACCUGUCUUGUGCUGGCCUGCAAUAGAUGGCAUUUUCUGGUUUAAAAAGCAAGAAGAAAAAGACCCAUGUUGUGUUUUUCACUUAACCAGGGUAACAUCUGUUCUCACCCACAACAGGACUCCAGGCUGAAGGACAUAUGCCAGGAUUCUUUUUUCCAAUAAUGAUUUUUUUUAAUUCUCAAAAAAUUUUGAAUUGCAGCUCUUUGAGCAGUACCCUUGCUUUACAUCUUCAUCCCCUCGGCUGAAAGAAUUGGCCUUUGCAGACUCAGGACCCACCCAGUCCCAGGCUCUGAGUGGGUGUACCACCUGACUAAUCAGUUGAUCUCAUGCAUGCAGUCUGGGGCCCUGGAAUUUUUCAGAAGUGAUUUCAGUUCCCACAUGUGAAAAGAGGGCUACUAGCAAAACUCAUUCUGAAACAUCCCUUAUUUUUCUAACUAAGCUUGGAGGCCUCAUUUUUAUUUAUUUAUUUAUUUAUUUUUGUCUUUUUGCCUUUUCUAGGGCCACACCCGCGGCAUAUGGGGUCUAAUCGGAGCUCAAGCCUACACCAGAGCCACAGUAACUCAGGAACUCAGUAACUCAGGAUCCAAGCCACAUCUGCAACCUAUACCACAGCUCACAGCAAUGCUGGAUCCUUAACCCACUGAGCAAGGCCAGGGAUCGAACCCGCAACCUCAUGGUUCUUAGUCAGAUUCGUUAACCACUGAGCCACGACGGGAACUCCUUGGGGCCUCAGUUUUAAAAGAAAAACUCAUUGAGAACUAUGUCUAGAUACUCAUGUUGCAACAGAAGAAAUGGUGGGGGAAAAACUGUAAUUGUAAUGUAUACAUGUAAGGAUAACCUGACCCCCUUGCUGUACAGUG
rnacentral:lncRNA from 1 species